rnacentral:lncRNA from 1 species
AUAAUAUUAGGGAGCUACCAUUUGAUUUUUAUGGGGGGGCUAGGAUGAAAUUGGAAAAAAAUAGGCAGGACAGGAGUUUUGAGUAAAAAAAAAGGCAGGAUGAGACACUUGCAAAAAAAAAAAAGUCAGGACGACAAUUUAGGUAAAAAAAAGUCAGGAUAAACUAAAAAAAAAAAGGCAGGACCGAACAGAGUGAAAAAUAAAAAGGCAGGACAGAGAUUACAGCUAAAAAAAAAAAUGCAGGACAAAAUUUUUCAUCCUAGCCCCCCCAUAAAAAUCAAAUGGUAGCUCCCUUAGACUAAACAAUACAUUG